UACGAAGGGGGCUAGCGUUGUUCGGAAUCACUGGGCGUAAAGCGCACGUAGGCGGAUUUUUAAGUCAGGGGUGAAAUCCCGAGGCUCAACCUCGGAACUGCCUUUGAUACUGGAGAUCUUGAGUCCGGAAGAGGUAAGUGGGAACUGCGAGUGUAGAGGUGAAAUUCGUAGAUAUUCGCAAGAACACCAGUGGCGAAGGCGGCUUACUGGUCCGGAACUGACGCUGAGGUGCGAAAGCGUGGGGAGCAAACAGG
rnacentral:rRNA from 1 species